rnacentral:tRNA from 1 species
UCCCUGGUGGCUCAGACGGUAAAGCGUCUGCCUGCAAUGCACGAGACCUGAGUUCAAUUCCUGGUUCGGGAA